ensembl:ncRNA F54D5.20 ncRNA
UAUUGGAUAACCAGAGGUCAAGUACUAGAACUCCAUUAGUACGGUAAGAGCAAGCAGAACUAUAUCAGGAGCUCAACUUACGUAAUUCAACAAGUCUCUCCCGACUGUACGCCUCAUAAGGUAUCGGGAGGGUGUGUUAGGAGACGGGAAGAAGAGAAAAAUGGUGUGGAGACAGCAGUCACCAAACCGCCUGUCUCCUCCUCUC